rfam:Asian citrus Psyllid, Diaphorina citri - Florida Strain, whole genome shotgun sequence.
GUCUUGGUGGUGUAGUGGUCAAGACGCCCGGACUGGUGAUCAGGAGGACGUGGGUUCAAUCCCUGCCAAGGGCC